rnacentral:rRNA from 1 species
UACGUAGGGGGCAAGCGUUAUCCGAAUUUACUGGGUGUAAAGGGAGCGUAGACGGAUGGACAAGUCUGAUGUGAAAGGCUGGGGCUCAACCCCGGGACUGCAUUGGAAACUGCCCGUCUUGAGUGCCGGAGAGGUAAGCGGAAUUCCUAGUGUAGCGGUGAAAUGCGUAGAUAUUAGGAGGAACACCAGUGGCGAAGGCGGCUUACUGGACGGUAACUGACGUUGAGGCUCGAAAGCGUGGGGAGCAAACAGG